UACGUAGGUGGCGAGCGUUAUCCGGAGUUAUUGGGCGUAAAGAGCGCGCAGGUGGUUGAUUAAGUCUGAUGUGAAAGCCCACGGCUUAACCGUGGAGGGUCAUUGGAAACUGGUCGACUUGAGUGCAGAAGAGGGAAGUGGAAUUCCAUGUGUAGCGGUGAAAUGCGUAGAGAUAUGGAGGAACACCAGUGGCGAAGGCGGCUUCCUGGUCUGUAACUGACACUGAGGCGCGAAAGCGUGGGGAGCAAACAGGAUUAGAUACCCCU
rnacentral:rRNA from 1 species